GACGUAGGGCGCGAGCGUUGUCCGGAUUUAUUGGGCGUAAAGAGCUCGUAGGCGGUCUGUCACGUCGGAUGUGAAAGCCCGGGGCUUAACCCCGGGUCUGCAUUCGAUACGGGCAGACUAGAGUGUGGUAGGGGAGAUCGGAAUUCCUGGUGUAGCGGUGAAAUGCGCAGAUAUCAGGAGGAACACCGGUGGCGAAGGCGGAUCUCUGGGCCAUUACUGACGCUGAGGAGCGAAAGCGUGGGGAGCGAACAGG
rnacentral:rRNA from 1 species